UUGGGCAGCAGGGUCAGAGGCCAAAAAAAGCCAUACAAACACAAGCAGCGGCAUGCCUGGAGCUGCCAUCACACUCCAAGCCCCACCACACACAAGCCCCCUCAGGUGGCCUUGCCCUCGAAGCUCUCUGCCAGCACACACUCCUCAGCUUUCUGGAGCCACGCCCUGCUCAGGCAAACAUGCUACUGGCCGUGGCUUGUUCCUGGGACCCCAGGCUGCCCACCGGAAGGGAACCUCUUCCAGGUGCUGCACGGCUCUGCCCUGCCCACUCCAACCCUGGGGCUAGCAAGACGUGUCAGAGGAGCCAAGGCUCAGAUCAUUCCCCCUUCAUCUACGACUUUGCCGGCCCUCCAGGGAUAAAUCAAAAGACAAAAUCUCCCCAUCUCACAGUGAGUGACAGGCCGACCUGGGCUACUACAUGUCCCAAGAUGCACAGCUCCAUAACUAGGCACCAGCUCCCCCAAGCGGAAUCUAUCAGAAAUGGGGCUGGGUGCACCGCAUUCUGGGAUUUGUAGUCCCCAGGAGCCAGCACCAAACACCCAAAGAAAAGAGUGCACAGGCUAAGACUACUGCUGCCUCCCACCCAUCCCCCACCCACCACCCAGGCCCCGGCUCUACACUCAGCAAGGGUGGAGAGGAAUGGAGGGUCCCCCCACCCAGCACAUGGGGGAGGGCACUGUCCUGUUGGAACUGUGCAGCGACUCUGGAUCCUGACAUCCAGCUCCAAACACAUCUGCGGCUUUCUUCCCAGCUGCCUCCAUCUCUGACAGACUGUAGGCCAUGGCCAGCUGCAGGUCCUCAUCCUCAGAGAGGUCACUGUCCAAGGGGCCUGAGACAGGGGUCUGCGAGACCUGAGUGCCCCUGGACCUGGAGGUGACUGACGGCUGCUACUCUCGACGGCUCAGCUCCAAGCCCAGUGCCAGGUCAUCUGGGACACCAUUGAUUGUGACUGACUUCAGCUGCCUCCACUUCCACCCGCUCCUACCCAUUCUUCGUGCUUCUGCGUGUGGUGAUGCGGUGUCCUUGGACAAAGGUGGUAAAGCGGAAAGCAGAUACUACCACCCCUACACCUAUAGCCAUCCUGGCUCCUGGUUCCCCAGCUAGCCCUCCUGGGAGUCUUGAGCCUGAGGCAGCAUGGCUUCCCCCUAUGCGCAGAGAGAGUGGUCACCCCAUCAAGCCCCCAUGCAAAGACUUGCCUGAUUCUCAGCAACAACACUGAGCUCUAAGAAAGGAAAGCUUUCAGAACAAUUGAAACAUUGCAGCAGCAUUUUGAAGGAGUUACUCUCUAAGAAGCAUGCUGCUUAUGCUUGGCCUUUCUAUAAACCAGUGGACGCUUCUGCACUUGGCCUGCAUGACUACCUUGACAUCAUUAAGCACCCCAUGGAUUUCAGCACUGUCAAGCGGAAGAUGGAGAACUGUGAUUAACAGGAUGCACAGGAGUUUGCUGCUAAAGUAUGGCUUAUGUUCUCUAACUCUGUAAGUACAAUCCCCCAGAUCACAAUGUUGUGGCAAUGGCACGAAAGCUACAGGAUGUACUUGAGUUCUGUUAUGCCAAGAUACCAGAUGAACCACUGGAACCAGGGCCUCUACCAGUCUCUACUGCCAUUCCCCCUGGCUUGGCCAAACCAUCUUCAGAGUCCUCCAGUGAGGAAAGUAGCAGUGAGAGCUCCUCUGAGGAGGAAGAUGAGGAGGAUGAGGAAGAAGAGAGGUGAAAGCUCAGACUCAGAGGAAGAAAGGGCUCAUCGCUUGGCAGAACUGCAGGAACAGCUUCGGGCAGUACAUGAACAACUGGCUGUUCUGUCCCAUGGUCCAAUAUCCAAGCCCAAGAGGAAAAGAGAGAAAAAAGAGAAAAAGAAGAAACAGAAGGCAGAGAAGCAUCGAGGAUGAGCUGGGGCGAUGAAGAAGACAAGGGGCCUGAAGCACCCUGCCCACCUCAGCCCAAGAAGUCCAAGAAAGCAAGUGGCAGUGGAUGUGGCAGUGCUGCUUUAGGCCCUUCAGGCUUUGGACCUUCUGGAGGAAGUGGCACCAAGCUCCCCAAAGAGGCCACAAAGACAGCCCCACCUGCCCUGCCUAUGGAUUAUGAUUCAGAGGAGGAGGAAGAGAGCAGGCCCAUGAGUUAUGAUGAAAAGCUGCAGCCGAGCCUGGACAUCAACAAAUUACCUGGAGAGAAGCUGGGCCGAGUUGUGCACAUAAUCCAAGCCAGGGAACCCUCUUUACGUGAUUCAAACUCAGAAGAGAUUGAGGUUGAUUUUGAAACACUCAAGCAAUCCACACUUAGAGAGUUUGAGCGCUAUGUCCUUUCUUGCCUAUGUAAGAAAACCCGGAAGCCCUAUACCAUUAAGAAGCCUGUGGGAAAGACAAAGGAAGAACUGGCUUUGGAGAAAAAGCGGGAAUUAGAAAAGCAGUUACAAGAUGCCAGCGGACAGUUCAAUUCCACUAAAAAGCCCCCCAAGAGAGCAAGUGAGAAAACAGAGUCAUCCUCUGCACAGCAAGUAGUAGUGUCACGCCUCAGUGCUUCCAGCUCCAGCUCAGAUUCCAGCUCCUCCUCUUGAUCAUCAUCUUCUUCAGACACCAGUGAUUCAGACUUAGGCUAAGGGGCCAGGCCAGAUGGGGCAGGAAGGCUCCGAAGGACCGGACCCUUAGACGGCCCUGCCCCACCCACCCCUUUCCCCUUUGCUGUGACUGCAUCUCACCCUCCUGCCCCCGUCUAGGAGAGCUGGCUCUGCACUGGGGGAGGGAUGCAGGGACAUUUACUAAAGGAGGGACAUGGACAAAAUAAGAUUGAAUUCUCAUGAGGUACCCAUUGGGGAGUGAUCUCUUGGACAUAGAUCCCCCAUUCAAAAUGACUGGGGCAGGGCAAGGGGGUACAGGAUGGAAGUGUGCAAAGCCCCUGAUUUGGAGUUAUGUAAGGCCAUAGCUGCCCUGUUGACUUCUAAGGGCCCUGUUUUGAGGUUGUUUGUUCUAAUUUAUUUUAAGCUAGGUAACCCUGGGGGGAGGGUGGGGCCUUUGUCCCCUCAGCCUCCGUGGGGUGGGAAGAAAGGGGAGCUCUUUCUUUACGUUGACUAU